GCUCAGCGGCGCCCGAGGGGGCUGCAGACACUGUACGACCCGGGCUCCCCAGCCCGGGCCGCUCUCCCAACACUGGAGUCUUUCGAGCCUCGGAGGAGCGCAGGCGCCGCUGCGCUCCCAGCCCGUCCGGCCACCAGGGGGCGCCCGCCCGGCGCGGGGCUGGAGCUGCUUUCUUUCCCAGGACUGGACGAGGGCCGGCGGAGUUGCUUUCCAAGAUGUACCCCGGGCCGGCUGUUUCCCAGUGAAUAAAAAGACAUUUAUAAUCAUUAAAGCUUCGAACAUGUGAUACGUGACUGGAUGGAGUUCCUGGAGAGCUGUAUUAACAUGUUUCAGAGUUGAAUUCUGAGAUUGUUCCCAUUCACUCAAAAGAAGAAAAAAAAAGAAAAAGAAAAAAAGAAGAAAAAAAAAGUGUGAGUUCCUGCAUCAAACUGCAGUCAGGAAAGAGUCCUUGAGCAAUAACGAUACUUGCGGACGUGACUUUGAAUGUCAAGAUUAAGAGAAACCUGGCGAGGACGAUGGGAUUAAGAUGGCGGAGUAGAAGGACUGCAGCUCAACCUCUCUCCUAAAAACAACCAAAUUCACAACUAAAGGCUGAGCAAUCUCCACCCAAAUGGACCGGAAACCUUAAAAAAGAUACCCUAUACUCCAGAAGACAAAGAGGAGGCCACAUCAAGAGACUUCAAAAGAAACACUGACAUUUCCUGGAUCUUCAGCCUGCCAAUCUUGGAUCAGAACUAUACUAUUGGCUCUCUUGGGUCUCCAACUGACUACAGAUCCUGGGACUUGUCAACCUUCAUAAUCAUGUCAGAGAAAACAGAUCCAGUUUUAUGCAGAAUAAAAGUUAACUGUGAAGUGGUCUUAAUAUUUCCCUUGAAGAAUAUACACACAUGCAGCAAAGAUGAGAACAGUGACAACCUUAGCCUAAAUGAAAUACGACAUCAAGAACCAACACAUUUCCCUCCAGAAACAGCACAGAUGGAAAGUUUCUUUAAAUGUAAGGAAGAGGAUCCUAAAGGUUCUAAUCAAGAAUUCUUUAGUUGGGAAAAGGCAGCCAUGUGACUGAGUUUCUGCAAUGGACUGGUGAACAGAAAGUAACAUCUAAUAGAUGGGCUACUUCAAGAGCUUUCGCCUUUUAUCAAAAUGAGACUGGAUUCAUUGGCAGCUAUGGAUUGAAAAAGGCAGAGACAUAAACUGGAAGGAACAUGCAUCCUUGAAUCAUGGAUUAGAGAAGAACCAUUGCUAAUCAGAAACGCUUGGUUUAUACUUAAAUAGAAUAGGUUCUUUUAUACUUGAAGCAUUAUAUAUGGAGGAUGGUUGCUUCUUACAAAAACUGUGACUACUUGUCAGUAUAUGGAACAUACAUUUUUAUUCCUUCCAUCAUUACUAGCAUAUAUGCAUUUUUUCUUUUUUUUUUCUAUAUAAAUAAUCUAUUCUGUACUGUCAGUCCAAAUAUAUGAUUAUUUUCCUGGAAUUUUUUGUAUACAAAUGUAGGAUGUUUUUUAAAGAUUUGAUAAAUAUUUCCAAAAUUCUGGACUAAUAUCUUCUUUCCACUGAUUUGUGCUGAAAUAACUUCUACAAAUACUCUACAUAAACAACACACUGUCUGCCUCAGGAAAAUGAAUUCUGAUUUCUGUUUGUUCUAGAUGCAAGUCCCACUGUUUAAAUUAUUAGAGUUUUAUCAUACAUCUUAAUAAUUGCUAUUAUGAACUCUCACCUUAUUUCUCUUUCUCAAGGGCCUAUUUGUUUCCAGUCACAUUCUUUUGAUAUUCUUUUCAGAAGCACUUUGUUAAGAUCCUUAAAAAUUCCAUAGAGAGUAUUACAUGAGAUGCAUUUAUUUAAUAAAUAUUUUUUAGGAAAUUCAAUAUAUUUAUAAUAUGUAGCAUUUCCAACCAUAAAGAUAAUUUUAUGUUUGCUUUGUUAAUCCACUUUAGUAGAAAUUUGUACUUUUCUUCAUGUACUCAUCCAUACUUUAGUCAAACUAUUAUUUGUAUUGCAAUAUGAAUGGAAUACAUGAGAUUUAAACUUUUGGGAAAAUGUAUGUUUUAAAAAGCAAUUGUAUUUGGAAUCAUUUUCUGUACAAAAGAUUCUGCUUUAUAAAAAUAAGUUAACAUAGAAAUCUAUACACAGAACUCCAUAUGACCCAGCAAUCCCACUCUUGGGCAUAUAUCCAGAUAAAACUUUCCUUGAAAAAGACGCAUGCACACACAUGUUCAUUGCAGUACUAUUCACAAUAGCUAAGACGUGGAAACAACCUAAAUGUCCAUCGACAGAUGAUUGGAUUAAGAAGAUGUGGUAUAUAUACACAAUGGAAUACAACUCAGCCAUAAAAAGAACAAAACAAUGCCAUUUGCAGCAACAUGGAUAGAACUAGAGACUCUCAUACUGAGUAUAGUAAGUCGGAAAGAGAAAGACAAAUAUGAUAUGAUUUCACUUAUAUCUGGAAUCUAAUAUACGGCGCAAAUGAAACUUUCCACAGAAAAGAAACUCAAGGACAUGGAGAGCAGACUUGUGGUUGUCAAGAGGGAGGGGAGGGAGUGGGAGGAACUGGGAAUUUGGGGUUAAUAGAUGCAAACUAUUGCCUUUGGAAUGGAUAAGCAAUGGGGUCCUGCUGUAUAGCACUGGGAACUAUGUCUGGUCACUUGUGAUAGAGCAUGAUAAUGUGAGAAAAAUGAAUGUAUACAUGUAUGUGUGACUGGGUCACCUCACUGUGUGGUAGAAAAUUGACAGAACACUGUAAAUCAGCUUUAAUGGAAAAAAUAAAAAUCAUUAAUAA
rnacentral:lncRNA from 1 species